CGCACAUUGCGCCUUCUGGUAUUCCGGGAGGCAUGCCUGUUCGAGCGUCAUCAAACACAUCCUCAAGCACUUUUGCUUGGUAUUGGAGGAAGAUGUCCGCAUCUCCUCUCAAAUCCCUCAGCGGAAACUACUGCAGUCUCAGGUGUCAUAAGAUUACCUUUUACUUGAUAACUGCCGGUAGGUUCUUGCUGUGAAGAGCCCCCCAGCGAUUCUUUUAAGUUUGACCUCGAAUCAGGUAGGGAUACCCGCUGAACUUAA
rnacentral:misc_RNA from 1 species